rnacentral:misc_RNA from 1 species
AUGGUCAACAUCAGCUCCUUUUUAAAUAUAUUAGCAGAAUCUGCCAGACCUGCCUCGGUUUGAUAAUUAUUGUUAUCAUCUAUCUGUCGCGGUGAGAGCAAGUAUUCAGCUUCUAAUCGUCUCUUUAUUGAGACUGUCUCAUUAGAGGCAUACUUAUGACUCUUGACCUCAAAUCAGGUAGGACUACCCGCUGAACUUAA